GACCCUGUGGUGCAACGGUAGCGCGUCUGACUUCAGAUCAGAAGGCUACGUGUUCAAAUCACGUCUGGGGUCA
rfam:Octopus bimaculoides Scaffold13175_contig_109, whole genome shotgun sequence.